rnacentral:rRNA from 1 species
AUUGAACGCUGGCGGCAUGCCUUACACAUGCAAGUCGAACGGCAGCACGGGGGCAACCCUGGUGGCGAGUGGCGAACGGGUGAGUAAUGCAUCGGAACGUGCCCUGAAGUGGGGGAUAACGUAGCGAAAGUUACGCUAAUACCGCAUAUUCUGUGAGCAGGAAAGCAGGGGAUCGCAAGACCUUGCGCUUUAGGAGCGGCCGAUGUCGGAUUAGCUAGUUGGUGGGUAAGAGCUCACCAAGGCGACGAUCCGUAGCGGGUCUGAGAGGAUGAUCCGCCACACUGGGACUGAGACACGGCCCAGACUCCUACGGGAGGCAGCAGUGGGGAAUUUUGGACAAUGGGCGCAAGCCUGAUCCAGCCAUGCCGCGUGAGUGAAGAAGGCCUCGGUUGUAAGUAC